UAGCCUAGUGGUUUAGGCUAUGGAUCGCCAAUCCGGAGAUGGCGGGUUCGAUUCCCGU
rnacentral:tRNA from 1 species